GGCUUCCUGGGGUGUACGACAAGAACCUAUAUUUUGAACCUACAUCAUAUAAACGGGAAUCCAAGUUAGAUGUUUUAGAAACCGGGCCGCAAGAUAAUUCCGUAUAAUUUAUUUAUCGGCAGCGGAGGGUUGACAUAACACACAGGACACCCACCUAGCUUAGCUAGGUGUCAAAAUAUCGGGGCGGCACUUUGGGAGCCU
rnacentral:other from 1 species